UGCCUUGUCAUUCAAGUGAAGAAUCACUCAUUUCCCCCGCAACGCUGGCAGAGAAAUACUACUGCCGCUGCAUAAAGGGCUGUCUUGAGCAGACUCUCACGGUGUCCGAGCUCCACCUCCGGUUUGAGUCUACUCCCCCAGGAAGCUUCAGGAACGAGGCCUAGCAAAUAGCAAGGCUCCGAAGGCGACGGCAUCUCGUAGCAAACACCUACUUAACCCUAGACGCUAUGUCUGGUGCAAAAGCACAUGGCUGGACAAACACCUGGAGCAAAGCAGGUGUCUACCUGAGAGGAGUUAUAGCAGUGGUGGCUAAUGAAGGCAAAAGCGAAAACUAUGGACCCGAUGUUUGUUAGUUUGCAUAUACCUGAUACUGCCGAUUGGGGAGGUAGCAAACCGCCGCCCUGGAGUUUGGAAAGCUUCUGGCCUUUGGGGAUACAAAAGAAUCGAUAAAGCUCACAGAGGACUCCCUCCCAGUCUGGAUUGAUGCGUGGUUGCUCAUGGUUUACUUGCCACAUUGAGCUUGUGCAUUCCGUUUUAAAGUCGUUUUCAGUCCUUCUGUGGAAGUGAUGACUUUCCAGUCACAGGGUUCCCUUACUGGUCUUUUUAUCCUGCUAGCGUGAGUCCAUCCUCGUUCGACAGUUCAUACAGCUGUUUUGGUGGUUAGCAGCACCUGAAAAAGGCCCUCACAUUUGGGAAUUAAAGGCUGGUCUUUCCAUAAUUUCACCAUCACCCAGUCCCCAGGAAUAACGCUAUGAAUUUUGAAAUCUAGGGUAGCAGUCUAAAGGAUUCUUCCCUCUUCCCAGAGUUCCUCUAAAGUUUGUGCUAAGGACAGGACAUAUUUCUUGACACCGUCCUCCCCUUCCUCAUAAGUGGCCAUGCUAUUGGGUGAAGUCAAAAAGGGUAGACCAAACAUCAUUUCAUAAGGUGAGACUUUUAAAUCUCAUCUAGACUGUGUUCUAACUCUUAACAAGGCUAGGGGUAGGCACUUGGUCCAUGACAUUUGGGCUGCAAUCAUAAGCUUUGUUAGAGUUCUCUUGAGAGUUUGAUUCAGCCUUUCAACCCACCCCGAACUCUGUGGAUGCCAUGGAGUAUGUAAUUCCCACUUUAUACCUAAAGAUUGCUGUAGUAUUUUUGAGGUAAAAUGUGUCCCUCUAUCUGAGUCAAUGUGAUUUACCAUUCCAUACCAGGGAAUGAUUAAUUCUAGAAGAGUUUUGCAUACCACAUUGGCAGUAGCUUUAACUACUGGCACCACCUCUACUCAAUGGGUUAUAUGAUCUACUAUUACCAACAUAAAUUUCCACCAUUUCACCUGAGGGGAGUUCAGUGAAAUCUACUUGGAUGCUUUGAAAAGGUCAUAAGGCUAAUUCUUGCCCUCCUUGGCAAGCUUUCCUCAUGACUUUUCUGUUUACCUUCUGGCAUAUUGCACAUUUUUCAGUUAUUUGUUCAGAUAUUCCAUAAAUUCCUACGCAGCCCCAGUUUCUCAAGAACUGAUCACUCAGCACUUGAGUAUUCCAUGCAUGCUUUCUAAUAUUUUCCUGUACAAUGGUUUCUUUAAAAGCUGACUCCCAUCAGAUAACACCCAUUUCCCUUCAUUGUUCCUUUUUGCUCCUAUUCUCAGGAGACCCUCUUCUUCGGUUUUACUGAAUACUGGUACAUCCUGAAUUUCUCCAGUAGGGGUCAGUUCCAUCAUCACUUUCUCUUCCCUGGCCUCGGCUGCGUUUUUAGCUUCUAAAUCUGCUAAAUUUUUCCGUCUUAUUUUUAAAGUGGUCCCUUUUUGUUACCCCUGAAUAUGCACAAUAGCAAUUUCCUCUGGCAACUGUAAUGCUUCUAAAACAUCUGAGAUGACUCUUUCAUGAAUUAGUUCUUUCCCUUUUGAAUUUAACAAUCCUCUUUCUUCCCGUAUUUUCCCAAACGUAUUCACCACCCUAAAGGCGUACUUGGAGUCAGUAUAUACAGUCACCCUCCCUUGUGUCAACAUCUUGAGGGCUCGUUUCAAGGCUUACAAUUCACAUGUUUGAGCUGACCAACUGGGGGGUAGCCUUCUCUUUUCUAUGGUCACUAAUCCUUCAUCUACUAUAGCUAUCCUGAUUUUAGCUUCUCCUGAAUCACCCUCGAGGAUCUGUCAAUGUAUAAUUGUUUCCCCCCCUGCUGGGGAUGGUCUGUCAAAUCCUCUCUCACUUUGGUCUGGUAGUUAAUCACUUCUAAGCAAUCGUGCACUAGUUCUUCUACCAGUUCCCCAUAGAAAAACUUGGCAGGGCAGGAUUGAUGUGCUUAUGUGUAAUUAGUUCUAGGUCAUCUUUGUCUAUCAAAAUUGCUUUAUAUUUUAGCACUCAAGAAUCAGUGAGCCACUUUUCAGCUUUCUGGUUCAGAAUAUUUCUAACUGCAUGAGGGGUGUGCACUUUAAUUUCCCCUCAAAAGUCUACUUUCAUCUACUAAUAGGGCAGUGAAAGCUACUGCCUGGAUACAGGUUAGCCACCCUCUACUACAGGGUCUAACAAUUUUGACAGAUUUACUACUGGUCUCUUGGACCCCUGCAUUCUUGGGGUAGAACUCCAUGGGCUACCCCAUUUUCCACAUCUACAAAUAGGUAAAAAGGCUUAUCCAGUGCAGGAAGACUUAAAGCAGGGACCCUAAUUAACUUCUGUUUUAAACUUUCAAAUCUCUGCUCAUCUUUUUUUCCCAUGUAAUCUCUUCCUUUACUAGUAUUUCAUAUAGGAAUUUAACAGCUUGAGUGUAUCCUUCAAUCCAUAUUCUACAAUAUACUGACAACCCCAGUAGUUUCCUGAUUUCCUUUUUACUUUUUGGUUGGGGAAGUGAGGUUAUUCCUGUGAUCCUUUCAGGAUUUAAUAAGCUAGCUCCCCGGGCUUGUUAUAUGCCCUAAGUAUUUUACUUCAUUCUCUACAAACUGGAGCUUUUAUUUUGAUACCCAAAGCCCCUGGUUCCCCAAAAAGUUUAGUAAUUAUAUGGUAGAUUCUUGGACCUUUUCCUCAUCCUCCCCUGAGAUAAGUAAGUCAUCAAUAAGAUAAGUUUUACCUCCAGUAUUAUGAGGAAACAUUGCAGUACCUCUUCUAGGGCUCAUCCAAAUAAAUCAGGGGAUUCAGUAAAUCCUUGGGGCAAUUAAGCUCAUCUGAAUUGUUGCUUUCUCCCUGUAUCGGAUCUUCGCAUUCAAAAGCAAAUACAUCUGCUUUCCUCUGUGAGGGGACAGGCCCAAAAGGCAUCUUUGAGAUCUAUCACACUGAACCACUGGUGUGAUGGAGGAAUUCUACUUAACAGUGUAUAGGGAUUUGGUACUACUGGAUAUCAUUCUAUAGUUCUUUUGUUUACUUCUCUCAGGUCUUGGAUGAGCCUGUAUGACUUUUUUACUGGUAACAUGGGGGCAUUGUGGGGAGACAUGCAUGGCUCCAAAGUUUCAUCCUUGAUUAAUUCGUGAUUUACAGUUUUCAACCCUUUUCUUCCUUUGCGAGAGACUGGAUAUUGCUGUAUCCUUUGUUGCUGUUAUACUACUAUAGGGGUUAUGUUUAACUUACCCUUAUUUCCAGGUUUGGCCCAAACUACUUCAAUUUGCUUUUCAUCCUCCUCUUCUAAUCUGAGCAAUUUAACUACCAUUUUUUCCCCCUCUGGAAGGACCCUUAUGCCUAAUUGUAGUUGCAAGUCCUUUCCCAGCAGAUUACAUCCUGCCCCUGGUACAAAUAAAACGUCCCCCAUUCCCAUCUUGUUGUUCCUUCAAAUACCACAUGUUUUAUGACUGGCACUCUAAAUCCUUCCCAUUUUGCCCCUACUACUAGAAUUGUAUCUUGGCUUUUCUCUCUGUUGGGAUUUUACACACACAUCUCCUCUCCACCCCUGUAUCCACUAAAAACUCUGAUUCUUCCUCCUGGGGGCCUACUUUUAAAGUUAUCAAGGGUUCCUGAUGGUAUUUUGCCCCCAGGAGAUAGAGCCCCUGACCCCCCUAUUUGUCUGUUUCUUAAACCUUCAUGAAAACUUCCAGAUCCUUUUCUCUCUGUGGGCAGUUUCGUCCUAAGUGUCCAAUUUUCUUGCAAAAAUGGCGGAUUGGGCCCUGAUUAUUAAAUUCCCCUUCUUCCCUUCUAAGGCCUCUCUCCAAGGGAGCUCUAUUCCUCUUAACUUCCUCUCAGCCCCCCUUGCUGUGGCCUGAUUGGGGCCUCACCUCUCUAUAGGAGUGAGUCUUUGCCCAUCCCAGGCCCCCUUGCUGUGGCCUGAUUGGGGCCUCACCUCCCUAUAGGUGAAAUAGAGAUUUUUGGAAUUCACUUGAGUUAGCAAUAUAAAUUAAGCAUUUAAAGUUUAGCCUGUAGAACUAUGUGUUGAAUUUUAACCCUUUUACUUAAGAAACCUCCGCCAUGCUACAAAGGGCAUAGGAAAAUGCAAAUUUCUGAAGCUUCUUGCAUAAAGAACAAUACCAGAGGAGACCAAGGGAUGCAAAGAACACAGAUAAAAGAGCUCCUCAGUCUCCAAGCUGAUCAAGGCCGACAGACAUACUCAGAUAAGCACCAAGAGACCAAGAGCACACGCGCAAAGGAGAAGAGUUCAAAAGUUCAGUCAUGAAGAAGACCAUGGCCUUCAGCCUCAGAGACCACCGAGAGACCCCUGUGUGACCACCACAGCAAACAACGCAUGCCCAGAAGGACGUGGAUCUGAUUACCAUGCGAACCGAGGACAGGUGGGGCCAAGAGUUGAAUAUACAUGAAAAAGUUGUGCAAUGUAUUGCAUAUGGAGCAUCUUUGUGAAUAAAAAUGUAGGUCAGACUGAGGCUCGGGGCACAAGCUUUUCACGAGAGCUAUCUCGCUUGUGCCAGGCACUGACAUACAUACCCACUUCAUAACUAUCUCUGGUUGUAGAGUUUAUUUAUUCCGUGUAUCGCUUCAUAGGAGUGAGUCUUAGCCCAGUGGUUUCCUUCAACUAUAGUAGCUGCCAUUAGCUUAGCCUUUGCCUUUUCUUUUACUUUAUCUCUUCCUACACAUACCUUAUGGGCUUCCUUUAGCAAGUAAUUCAACCCUCUGUCUUUCCAAUCCUCUAAUCCUUCUAGGUUCUUUCUUAUAUCCAGUCAGGCAUAUGUGUCUAAGGUCACUUUUAGCAGUGUUUGUCCCACCACCAUAUUAGUAUCCGUUCGUGAGUACUGCCUCAUAAUCCUUUUUAACCUCUCCAGCCAUUCAUUUGGGGUUUCAUCUUUUUUUUGUUGCUCUGCAAAUGCUGUGUGGGCGUUCUGAUUAUGGGGAGCUGUUUCCCUAAUUCCCCUGAUAAUCAAUGCUCUAUAUUCUUCCAUGUUUUGCCUUCCCCUGGGGUCAUUAUGGUCCCACAUCCUCCGCUGUAGUGGCAUUUUAUCCUCCCCAGGGGUCCAUUUACAUGCUCCCUCUCCCAUAUUCGCAUACCAGCAGCUCAAAUCAUCUGCCUUUCUUCAGAUGUAAGCAAAAGGUUUAGUAUAGAUUGCAUUUCUUCCCAAGUAUAAAUAUUAGGCCCUAAAAACUGGUCUACUUAUUCUGAUAAUCCAAUACGGUCUUCAAGUAGACCUCUCAAUUCCUUUUUGAAUGCUGUUACUUUGGAGGAGUUGAGUGGGACUGUGACAAACCCAGUCCCCCCUUGUGCCCCUCCCAGUGGAAUUUCCCGGGGGGGGUAUAGUAAUGCUGCUUGGUCUUCCCUUUUUAAUUCCUCCUGCUGAGCAGCUCUUCCCCAGGUAUUCUGACUAGGCCUGUCAGGUGGCUAAGGGGGUGCAUUAGGUGCUGCUAGAUAUGGUGGGGGGAGACAGUCUAAGGGGUCCCUCUUUUUCCCUCUUCCAAUUUAAACACCUUCCCUUCUCACUGAGAGUUUACCUUCCUGAGCAAGCAUAAUCCUUUUCUCCUUGGCUGACAGCUUUCUUGUCAUUUACAUAAGUAUUUAAGGCUUGGCAUAUUUCCCUUUCAAAAGACCCAUGUAGGGGCCAGAUUAAAUGGUCUGAUCUUAUCUCUUCUUUAGUCCACUAAAUCAUACAAUAAUGUAUCAUUUUGAUCUUAUUGUUAUUCUUUGUGUCAGGGUUCUGCUCCCACUGUGCCAACUGUAUACCAAGGUUCUCAAAAGCCUUGUUGUCAACCAAACCCGAUCAAUUUUUCAAUCUCUCAGGGAGUGUUUCUCUACUUAGCAGCUAAACACUCCAGAUCAGCCAAAUCGGUCGUGUCUCAAGGAUAUAUUGGGGCCUAGGCCCUGCCUCUUGCCUUUGAAGGCUCUGUGUUAACCUUUUAACUAUCCUAACACCACAUUAUACCCUAGAUUCCUAUAGACUGUCAGACAUGAGUCGAGUGCAGCACUACGUCGGAAUUAGGAUUUCUGCAGUCGAAAUUACAGGCAAUCCCUCUCCUCUUCAAUCCCUUUAUCCCCGUUUUAACCCCAAACUGGCUAACAUUUCUCUUAUUGCAGGUUCUCGCUCAGCCUCUGACAUUCGCAUUGUCUUGUUACAGGCCAGGCCCCUCAUGGGGAGACAGAAAUGCAGUUAAAAAGAUUCCCCACUCACAUGGCAGACUGGGGACUACCCUGUCCGCAUCUCACACACACACACACACAGACUCCCAGAUUUUUUGUGAUCCCCUUUUUACAAUAUACUCACCUACCUAGGUUCUAUAUGCACUGGUUUAGGAGUUGACGCGAUUUCUUAGAGAGUUUUACUCCCUCCCCUUUCUCCUUCUGUUCUUUUUAUCCUACCAACUGAGGGUUAACUUACAGUCUCUCAUAGCGGCAGGAAAAGCCCAGGUGGGCUGCUGUAAUUUUAAGUAGGGCACCUCCUGCCCGGGACCCCCAGAGCCACAGAGACUUGAGGUAUAUCUUGGUGAAACCUCCAAAUUGUGAAAACCAGAAUUCACUGCUUAGAAUUUUUAUAAGUUUAAUAAUAAUAGGAUAAAAAAGGACAAUAUUUUCAACACUGGGGUGCUCCUAGCCAACAGCCAAAGAACACACCAGUGUAUACAGACAAUGUUGUCUUUAUACUGUUACAUUGCUGAGAUACGUGUAUAUUCAUGUAUUUCCUGCAUUAUUCAAACAAUCUUGUGAACUUUCUGAUGUGUUGGGAACUCCUUUGUUUGACUUCUUCACACUCCAGUUUAUCUGCAUCCUGUGUGUCAGGUUGUAGGAAAGACAUUGUGUGCUGUCCUUGUGAGCUAGCAAGGGCCUCCUGAAGAUAAGGAAGCCCCAUAUCUCUCCUGAAGGAAGACCAAGGUUGUUACCAAGGAGACAGGAUGAAGGAGAGAAUGUUAAGAGAUACUGACUCUGGCCAGCUCACAGAGUGACGUGGCUCCCUGAUCGCCUACUGGGAACUUGUUUCUCUCUUAUGACCAGUGGGCACUGAAUGUGUAUACUGGAUGGGUGUAAGUGUCUUGAAAAAGUAUAAAAGCAAUGUUGCAGUAAUAAAAUCUCUCUCUUGCACCCUU